UGGCGGCACGCCGAACACAUGCAAGUCGAACGCAGUAGCAAUACUGAGUGGCAAACGGGUGAGUAUAAUGUGGGAAUCUGCCUUUUGGUUUGGAAUAACACGGGGAAACUUGUGCUAAUACCGAAUAAGCCCUUACGGGGAAAGUUUUAACGCCGAAAGAUGAGCCUGCACUUGAUUAGCUAGUUGGUAAGGUAAAGGCUUACCAAGGCAACGAUCAAUAGCUGUUCUUAGAGGAAGACCAGCCACAUUGGGACUGAGACACGGCCCAGACUCCUACGGGAGGCAGCAGUGGGGAAUCUUGCACAAUGGGGGAAACCCUGAUGCAGCGAUGCCGCGUGAGUGAAGAAGGCCCUUGGGUUGUAAAACUCUUUCGUCGGGGAAGAAAAUGACUGUACCCGAAUAAGAAGGUCCGGCUAACUUCGUGCCAGCAGCCGCGGUAAUACGAAGGGACCUAGCGUAGUUCGGAAUUACUGGGCUUAAAGAGCUCGUAGGUGGUUAAAAAAGUUGAUGGUGAAAUCCCAAGGCUCAACCUUGGAACUGCCAUCAAAACUUUUUAGCUAGAGUGUGACA
rnacentral:rRNA from 1 species